rnacentral:rRNA from 1 species
AGAGUUUGAUCCUGGCUCAGGAUGAACGCUGGCGGCGUGCCUAAUACAUGCAAGUCGAGCGAACGGACGAGAAGCUUGCUUCUCUGAUGUUAGCGGCGGACGGGUGAGUAACACGUGGAUAACCUACCUAUAAGACUGGGAUAACUUCGGGAAACCGGAGCUAAUACCGGAUAAUAUUUUGAACCGCAUGGUUCAAAAGUGAAAGACGGUCUUGCUGUCACUUAUAGAUGGAUCCGCGCUGCAUUAGCUAGUUGGUAAGGUAACGGCUUACCAAGGCAACGAUGCAUAGCCGACCUGAGAGGGUGAUCGGCCACACUGGAACUGAGACACGGUCCAGACUCCUACGGGAGGCAGCAGUAGGGAAUCUUCCGCAAUGGGCGAAAGCCUGACGGAGCAACGCCGCGUGAGUGAUGAAGGUCUUCGGAUCGUAAAACUCUGUUAUUAGGGAAGAACAUAUGUGUAAGUAACUGUGCACAUCUUGACGGUACCUAAUCAGAAAGCCACGGCUAACUACGUGCCAGCAGCCGCGGUAAUACGUAGGUGGCAAGCGUUAUCCGGAAUUAUUGGGCGUAAAGCGCGCGUAGGCGGUUUUUUAAGUCUGAUGUGAAAGCCCACGGCUCAACCGUGGAGGGUCAUUGGAAACUGGAAAAACUUGAGUGCAGAAGAGGAAAGUGGAAUUCCAUGUGUAGCGGUGAAAUGCGCAGAGAUAUGGAGGAACACCAGUGGCGAAGGCGACUUUCUGGUCUGUAACUGACGCUGAUGUGCGAAAGCGUGGGGAUCAAACAGGAUUAGAUACCCUGGUAGUCCACGCCGUAAACGAUGAGUGCUAAGUGUUAGGGGGUUUCCGCCCCUUAGUGCUGCAGCUAACGCAUUAAGCACUCCGCCUGGGGAGUACGACCGCAAGGUUGAAACUCAAAGGAAUUGACGGGGACCCGCACAAGCGGUGGAGCAUGUGGUUUAAUUCGAAGCAACGCGAAGAACCUUACCAAAUCUUGACAUCCUUUGACAACUCUAGAGAUAGAGCCUUCCCCUUCGGGGGACAAAGUGACAGGUGGUGCAUGGUUGUCGUCAGCUCGUGUCGUGAGAUGUUGGGUUAAGUCCCGCAACGAGCGCAACCCUUAAGCUUAGUUGCCAUCAUUAAGUUGGGCACUCUAAGUUGACUGCCGGUGACAAACCGGAGGAAGGUGGGGAUGACGUCAAAUCAUCAUGCCCCUUAUGAUUUGGGCUACACACGUGCUACAAUGGACAAUACAAAGGGCAGCGAAACCGCGAGGUCAAGCAAAUCCCAUAAAGUUGUUCUCAGUUCGGAUUGUAGUCUGCAACUCGACUACAUGAAGCUGGAAUCGCUAGUAAUCGUAGAUCAGCAUGCUACGGUGAAUACGUUCCCGGGUCUUGUACACACCGCCCGUCACACCACGAGAGUUUGUAACACCCGAAGCCGGUGGAGUAACCUUUUAGGAGCUAGCCGUCGAAGGUGGGACAAAUGAUUGGGGUGAAGUCGUAACAAGGUAGCCGUAUCGGAAGGUGCGGCUGGAUCACCU